rnacentral:rRNA from 1 species
AGAGUUUGAUCAUGGCUCAGGAUGAACGCUGGCGGCGUGCCUAAUGCAUGCAAGUCGCACGCAGCGUGGCUUACCACGCUGAGUGGCGCACGGCUGAGGAACACGUAGGAACCUGCCCAUCCGUGGGGGACAACACGACGAAAGUCGUGCUAAUCCCGCAUACGCUCACGGCAACGUGAGGAAAGCAGCAAUGCGCGGACGGAAGGGCCUGCGGCCCAUCAGGUUGUUGGCGGGGUAACGGCCCACCAAGCCUUUGACGGGUAGCUGGUCUGUGAGGAUGACCAGCCAGACUGGGACUGAGAUACGGCCCAGACUCCUACGGGAGGCAGCAGCAAGGAAUUUUCGGCAAUGGGCGCAAGCCUGACCGAGCAACGCCGCGUGCAGGAUGACGGCCUUCGGGUUGUAAACUGCUUUUGCGAGGGAUGAUUGUAGACAGUACCUCGCGAAUAAGGCUCGGCUAACUCUGUGCCAGCAGCCGCGGUAAGACAGAGGAGCCAAGCGUUGUCCGGAUUGACUGGGCGUAAAGCGCACGCAGGUGGUUGCGGGCGUCGGUGCUGAAAGUUCGCCGCUUAACGGCGAAUCGUGUGCCGAUACGCCGCAACUCGAGGUCGUGAGAGGUCCGUGGAAUUGCCGGUGUAGUGGUGAAAUGCGUAGAGAUCGGCAGGAACACCCAAGGGGAAGCCAGCGGACUGGCACGGUGCUGACACUGAGGUGCGAAAGCGUGGGGAGCGAACCGGAUUAGAUACCCGGGUAGUCCACGCCGUAAACGAUGAAUACUCGCCCUAUGGCGGCUCAAUGCCGUUGUGGGGUCAAGCUAACGCGAUAAGUAUUCCACCUGGGAACUACGAGCGCAAGCUUAAAACUCAAAGGAAUUGACGG